rnacentral:rRNA from 1 species
UACGAAGGGGGCUAGCGUUGCUCGGAUUGACUGGGCGUAAAGGGCGCGUAGGCGGUUCGUACAGUCAGACGUGAAAUUCCUGGGCUCAACCUGGGGGCUGCGUUUGAUACUGGAUGGCUGGAGUUUGGGAGAGGGAUGCGGAAUUCCAGGUGUAGCGGUGAAAUGCGUAGAUAUCUGGAGGAACACCGGUGGCGAAGGCGGCAUCCUGGACCAAUACUGACGCUGAGGAGCGAAAGCCAGGGGAGCAAACGGG